AUGGGUCGUACCAAUGUCAAUCCUAUUUGGGGGAAGAUUUGGAAAUUAUCGUGUCCGGCAAAGGUAAAAAUAUUUAUCUGGCGAACGUUGCAUGGAACUCUACCGUGUCGUGUUACACUUGCCAAUAGACACAUGAAAGUUUCGUCCCUUUGUCCAUCAUGCUCAAAUGGGCAAGAAGAUACAAAACACAUCUUGUUUUUGUGUGAGAAGGCAAAAGAGGUUUGGGGUAAGCUGGGGAUGUACGAGGUAAUUAAGAAAGCUUGUGUUAUUGAUCGUGCUGGUGAGGCGGUUCUUGAAUUCUUACUUCUUAUGCCGCACCAAGAACUAUCUAUAUUAGGAUGCCAGAAUGCAAGUGAAUUAAUCGCGAUAACCGCUUGGUAUUUAUGGUGGGAGAGA
rnacentral:rRNA from 1 species